rnacentral:rRNA from 1 species
GGUAUUUUUCUUGUUAAUUCCGUUAACGAAAUAGACCACAGCCUACUAAAUAGUACGUUUUAUGGUAACAUAGUAUGAGACUUCUUAGAGGGACAUUUCGGGUUUACCGAAAGGGAGUUUGUGGCAAUAACAGGUCUGUGAUGCCCUUAGAUGUUCUGGGCCGCACGCGCGCUACACUGACGACUUCAACAAGUUUUUUGGCAUUGCCAAAUUUCCUUGGCCGGAAGGUCUGGGUAAUCUCUUAAAAGGUCGUCGUGAUGGGGCUAGAUUCUUGCAAUUAUUAAUCUCCAACGAGGAACC